GACGAACGCUGGCGGCGUGCUUAACACAUGCAAGUCGAACGGAAAGGCCCUGCUUUUGUGGGGUGCUCGAGUGGCGAACGGGUGAGUAACACGUGAGUAACCUGCCCUUGACUUUGGGAUAACUUCAGGAAACUGGGGCUAAUACCGGAUAGGAGCUCCUGCUGCAUGGUGGGGGUUGGAAAGUUUCGGCGGUUGGGUAUGGACUUGCGGUUUAUCAGCUUGUUGGUGGGGUAGUGGCUUACCAAGGCUUUGACGGGUAGCUGGUCUGAGAGGGUAACCGGCCACAUUGUGUCUGCAAUUCGGUCCAGACUCCUACGCGAGGCAGCAGUCGGGAAUAUUGCGCAAUGGGCCGCAGCCUGAUGCAGCAACUCCGCGUGCGGGAUGACGGCCUUCGGGUUGUAAACCGCUUUAGCAUGUGACGAAGCGUGAGUGACGGUAACGGGUACAGAAGCACCGGCUAACUACGUG
rnacentral:rRNA from 1 species